CUCCUCAUACAGACCGAUAAGUUUAUUUUCGUGUCUAUCAAAAUUCUUUGAAAAAUGCCUUCUAGAAGACAUAAUAUACAGAAGACAUAAUAGUAUCCCAGCACAUCAAUUCGGCUUUCGCGAAAAACAUGGAACUAUCGAACAGAUGAACCGCAUAACAUCAGAAAUUUGUAGUGCAUUUGAAAAUAGGGAAUACUGCACUGCGGAAUUUUUGAACGUCUCUCAAGCAUUCGACAGAGUAUGGCUUGACGGCCUAAUGCAUAAAAUCAAAAUAAUGCUCCCUAAUAAUACGCAAAAACUCUUGAAGUCAUAUCUUUACAACAGGAUAUUUGUUGAGCGAUGCAAUACUUCCAUGUCAGCUGAACAUAACAUCGAAGCUGGAGUUCCUCAAGGCAGAGAUCUCGGGCCAACUUUAUACCUACUCCACACUUCUGAUGUUCCUACGAGCAGACAACUGACUAUGUCUAUGUUUAUGUCCAAAACAAGCAUCAGCGCAACUUGCGGCCCAUCUAGAUGUAGUAGAGAAAUGGCUCUCAGACUGGCAUAUAAAAGUAAAUGAGCAAAAAUGUCAAUUACAAACAUAUUUCGGGGACUUAGCAAUGUAUGGCUGAUUACUUUGAACUCGGACCACUCAUGUAGGUUUACAACAGCGCCAGGAAGUCCUUCUUCUGUCCUCGAUAGAUGUCUCCCAGCGAAGUGGUGGACGCCAAAUUGCCCAGCUCGGCAUCCUGACCAACCAUUUGAUUUUGUGGUAGUGCAGUGUGUGUAGUCCAGCCAACGAAAAAAAUGUUGCGGUGUCCAAAAGAAAAUAAAUUCGAAUUAGACAAAGAUCAAGUAAAUACAAUUGAAUUUGAGAUACAAACCAUUUGUAAAAACAAAUAAACAGAGCAAAGUGUUCCUCUUUUAUGUAAAAACUUUUCGUUGAAUGUCAGAGUAACCGCGGCAACCCAAUAAAAAAAUAUAUUUAAUACCACA